rnacentral:tRNA from 1 species
GGUGUUGUGGACUAGUUGGUAGGGCGUUGCUCUCUGACAAUAAGGACCCGGGUUCGAAUCCCACUCUUUCCA